UGGUGACAACUAUUGUCAUUCAGUGGUUACUCUCGCAGUCAAGUGGACUGGUGCAUUUCUCUCCGACCUGACAUUUUUAUUUUGAACUGUACGUGAAUUCGUGAUGAACUGCUUAUUGGCUGAACUUUGGUGUACACUGUUGCUGUUGAAGAUUGGAUGGAGCCUGGAAAAGAUGUAGCCGGAUGCAGCCGGAUGGAGCCAGAUUCAGCCAGAUGCAGCCGGAUGCAGCCGGAUGCAGCCAGCCAAUCGAGUGGGAACUUCGCCGACAUCUGGGGCUUUGGAGUUGCUUUUCGAUAUGACGAUCGGAGCCUGAAUGUCAACCGCCGAAUUUUCUUUGUUGCCGACUCUGACACCUGUCACUUUUCCUCCUUCGUUUAGAAUUUGCGUGACGUUCGCCUUCAUCAAAACACGACCACCUGAUCGCUCGAUGACCGGGAUGAUUUGGUAAGGCAUUUCAGAAGCUCCACCAAUCGGGUAACAAGAUCCUACAACAACAUUAUUUUUUGAAUUGUCUCAACUAAUUUUUGUUUUGUUUUAACCAUAUUCACAGCAAUGGACAUGCAACAGGGCCAUCAUCGAGAAGCUCACUUGACUAGGCGGUAAGCCGAAUCCGCCGGUGCU